rnacentral:rRNA from 1 species
GACGAACGCUGGCGGCGUGCUUAACACAUGCAAGUCGAACGGAAAGGCCCUGCUUUUGUGGGGUGCUCGAGUGGCGAACGGGUGAGUAACACGUGAGUAACCUGCCCUUGACUUUGGGAUAACUUCAGGAAACUGGGGCUAAUACCGGAUAGGAGCUCCUGCUGCAUGGUGGGGGUUGGAAAGUUUCGGCGGUUGGGGAUGGACUCGCGGCUUAUCAGCUUGUUGGGGGGGUAGUGGCUUACCAAGGCUUUGACAGGUAGCCGGCCUGAGAGGGUGACCGGCCACAUUGGGACUGAGAUACGGCCCAGACUCCUACGGGAGGCAGCGGUGGGGAAUAUUGCACAAUGGGCGGAAGCCUGAUGCAGCAACGCCGCGUGCGGGAUGACGGCCUUCGGGUUGUAAACCGCUUUCGCCUGUGACGAAGCGUGAGUGACGGUAAUGGGUAAAGAAGCACCGGCUAACUACGUG